GGGUCAGUAGGUUGGUCAUGCCACUGGUAUGAACUGGUUUUACUGAUUCCUCCCUCUUGAAGAACUGUAAUGCCAUUAAUUUGGUGUUGCAGGGAAUCAGGACUGUUACUUUGAAAAAAUUAGAGUGCUUAAAGCAGGCUAUCGCCUGAAUACAUUAGCAUGGAAUAAUGAAAUAGGACGUUCGAUCCUAUUUUGUUGGUUUCUAGGAUUGACGUA
rnacentral:rRNA from 1 species